ACUACACGAAGCCGGAAUCGCUAGUAAUCGCGGAUCAGAAUGCCGCGGUGAAUACGUUCCCGGGUCUUGUACACACCGCCCGUCACACCAUGGGAGUCGGGAAUGCCCGAAGUCAGUGACCCAACCCAAGGGAGGGAGCUGCCGAAGGCAGGCCUGGUGACUGGGGUGAAGUCGUAACAAGGUAAC
rnacentral:rRNA from 1 species